AUGCUACAACAUUUCCUGUCCAUUUUAAAAAAGAAAAAUAUCACAGGACAGACAAAGUAACAACACCAGAGAACAUUUUGAUUUGGCACUUCUGUAACUUCUUUGGGAAGAGGAUAUUGAUAAUCAAAAUGCCAUGAUUUCAGCAAACUAGUUUGGCCCAGUACAAAAUUCUUUGUUCACAAAGAGAGGAACCAAUAUCAUUGCCUCCAAAAUGAAUGCCGAAUAAUUUCACAGUAGCGAUUCCGUCGUUUCUUCAGCUGGAAGAUCAGCUCAAGUAAGAGAUUUGCCAGCCCAGCCUCCAAAAUGAAUGCCGAAUAAUUUCACAGUAGCGAUUCCGUCGUUUCUUCAGCUGGAAGAUCAGCUCAAGUAAGAGAUUUGCCAGCCCA
rnacentral:misc_RNA from 1 species